GACGAACGCUGGCGGCGUGCCUAAUACAUGCAAGUCGAACGCAGGGGGGGCGGGGGAGUAACACGUGGGUAACCUCCCAUCAGAGGGGAUAACACUUGGAAAAAGGUGCUAAACCGCUACUGAUGGAUGGACCCGCGGGGCAUUAGCUAGUUGGUGGGGUAACGGCUCACCAAGGCCACGAUGCAUAGCCGGCCUGAGAGGGUGAUCGGCCACACUGGGACUGAGACACGGUCCAGACUCCUACGGGAGGCAGCAGUAGGGAAUCUUCGGCAAUGGACGGAAGUCUGACCGAGCAACGCCGCGUGAGUGAAGAAGGUUUUCGGGUCGUAAAGCUCUGUUGUUAGAGAAGCGGUAUCUAACCAGAAAGCCACGGCUAACUACGUGCCAGCAGCCGCGGUAAUUC
rnacentral:rRNA from 1 species